UCGAGCUCUCCCCGAUCCCUAUCUCUCUCCCAGUUGCAAGUCCUCAUCCCGGCGUCUCUCUUUCUCCCCAAUCCCCACCUCUGCCGUCCACAUGCUCCACCUAGGACCGCUCCCCCUCCUCUUCCUCCCUGGAUGUCGUGAACGUGCAGAGGCGUCUGUAGCGCGCUCCCAGUCCGAGCUCCUCUGGCUGGUGGCAUGGCGUCACUUGCCGGCUGCAACUCCCGACGAUCUCUCCGGAUGGUCUGUCGCACGACGCCAACGGCGUUUUCCGCCGGCGAAACGGCCUUCCUUUCAGUGCCCGCUGUGCUGCUGACCGCCGGCGAGCGCGCUCCUGGAAAUAUAGAGAUCAGUACUACCGCCGGCCAGCUGCACCACCUGUUCGUGUGCUUCGACAAUCUGAAGCUGAACUAGAGUUGAUUUUGGUCUAGGAGGUAGAGCAUGAAGACCAUGGUGCAGAACUUGCACAACCACGUUAAGGUUGGCUUCAUUUAAAUGUGGAAUUCAUGAGUACAUGUUGUCUGAUUGUGGUUAUGUGUUAUUUAUAUUUCUCUAUACUUUAGGCUUCUCAGGAUUCAAAUUUUGUAGCCAUAUUGUUUCGGUGCAACUUAUUCAUCGUGUCGGCUGUAUGGGAAGUUUGGCGCAGCGCACACCGCACCCGUGUUGUUAAUCGUGCAGCAUGUAUUGCUAACUUCUGAUUCUUAGGGGCCUGUCUUUUUUUAGCGUGCGGUCGCUGCUUGUGUCUAGAGGCGUGCACGUGACCUGUUGUGGCUAAUCGGUGCAGCAGGGGAAUGCACAGCGCAAUUGGUGUAUCCUUCUGGGGAAGUGAGUGCUGCCUCCAGCCCUCGACCAUCUUCAUUACUUGCACGAGGAAGGACGAUUCCUUCUGGGGAAGUGAGUGCUGCCUCCAGCCCUCGACCUUCUUCAUUACUUGCACGAGGAAGGACGAUUUGAGAGCGGCGUGGAGGGGCAGACGAUGGCGAGCGCGACCAAAUUGAUGCGCAGUAUAUGAAAGGGGGAGCUAUCAGCUGUGAAAUGUUUGGAAAAUAUAUUAUCUACAUGGCUGGCAUGCCAUACAUUGGAAGCAAGCAAUGAUACCAUCUGUAGGUGCUCGCGAAGCAACCCUAAGCUUGCUAACAACAGCUUUGAAUUCCUUUUCGUCCUUGAUGCUUACAUUUGCUUCCAUCCGAGAAGGCAAGAAACCUCUACCUUUCCCUCCCAUUGUUAAUUUACUUCUCUUUACCUAUUCUGGUAGGAACUUACUAGGUUGAGACCACUUGGCAAUGAAGUGAUCAGCUAUAGUGCCUUGAAACCUCUUCAAUUUUUCAUUGGGUUGACAAUUUCUUUCUUUCAGUUUUUCACAACAGAUAUUGAUAAUGAGGCACCGUGCAAUAUUCUUUGUUAGCUGGAAAAGGACUAAGAUGCUACGUAGCUUUAGCUCCAAAUUGCAGCACAUAUCACUCCAUGGUAGCUACAGAAGAAAGAACGGCAUACCAGAUAUUGGUAGACUAGCUAUCAUUCAGUCGAGUACUCCCGUCGAUUAUCUCCUUCCGCUUCCCUUGCUACUACCAAGUCCCCAAUAAUUUAUUAGAUGGAGCCCUCUUUCCCAAGAAUGGAAAACCAACUACAAAAACAAGAAAUAUACUAUAUCAAGAAGUGCUUGCUAAUCUUUAAACGACACAUAUAUAGGUACUAUUUUGGUUGGCUAACUUCACAAUGUAUAUUUUCUUACCCAUAGAUUAUACAUUUACAUGCCUAAUUCCUGUCCUCAAUUUCCCCCUUUUUACGCUCCCGGACAAGAAAAGUUUUCUGUUCUUUGAUGUGUUUAUGUAUGUACUUAACACAGAUUUACAUGGAUGGUAGUUGCAAGUGCCCAAUUCUUGAUGAAUCCAUAUGCAAGCGGACACGGCUCCAACUGUCGAUCACUUUGUUUACCCAAUGG